UGCCAGCAGCCGCGGUAAUACAGAGGGUGCAAGCGUUAAUCGGUAUUACUGGGCGUAAAGGGUGCGUAGGCGGCCUGUUAAGUCAGAUGUGAAAGCCCUGGGCUCAACCUGGGAACGACAUUUGAAACUGGCAAGCUAGAGUAUGGUAGAGGGAAGUGGAAUUUCCGGUGUAGCGGUGAAAUGCGUAGAUAUCGGAAGGAACACCAGUGGCGAAGGCGGCUUCCUGGACCAUUACUGACGCUGAGGCACGAAAGCGUGGGGAGCAAACAGGAUUAGAUA
rnacentral:rRNA from 1 species